rfam:Streptomyces yokosukanensis strain DSM 40224 genomic scaffold PRJNA299221_s036, whole genome shotgun sequence.
CUUGACCGAGCCGAGCAGCAGCGGCCGCUCGGCCGGCCGGUCCUGCCCGUAGGUGGCCAGCAGCGCCUGCGCCUC